UGACAAGGCACUCCUCCCCAGCCUCUGCCUAAUAAAAGCCCCACAAUCUCACUCCCUAAGGAGCCGGUCACCUGCCCCUUUCCUUUUGCACCAUCUCCCUUGUGCCUCUCCUGUGCACAAGCUAAUGAACUUCUACUUUUCUACUCCCAUUUGUUGUUGAUCUUGACUUCCAUCCUAGGGGACAACAAGAACCCAAUGUGCCAGGAAUAUAUGGGUGACCACAAAGGGAUGGGACAGGGUGGGGCUUUCUUGAGACCCAGUCGAAGAUUAGACGGGCCUGUGUUGGACUGGCCUGGCCGCCCGGAUGUGGACAUAAAUGGCCCCAGCCAAACCUUCGUUUCAGACUCCAGCAUUUGGAGGAUCUCCUCUCCUGGUUUCAGGGGCACCGUGAGCCCCUGGGUCAGUCAUUAGCCUGACAAUCUGAUUUUUCUGUCUCAUUGAGUCUGCGUUCCACCCCUGGGAGCUCUCCGGAACUCUGUUUUGUCUCCUGUCAAGAACCCGGUGAGUAUUUUAGGUGCCUACUGAGUCGGUUCUGGGGACAGGAGACCUGUAAUUUAUUCUGCAAACUGUCCUUCCG
rnacentral:lncRNA from 1 species